CCAUAAAAUGGCUGCCUUAUCAGUCUGCCUUCUCGGACAUGGUUCAUCAGCCUCGACCUCGUAAAUUGUUGACAUAAUUUACAGAUUUUUCUCUUCACUUGGAUGGAACCUCUUUAGGGUUUUGUGAGAACAAGCUUCCAAGAUAUCUGAUGACGGACGAUGAAUACGACGAUUUGGAGAUGGGGAUUGAUGAGAACAUGGAGGAUACUCUUGCAAAUGUUGAAGGGGCGCAGAACCAGUUGACCAGGUAUCUUAGCAGUAUAUCCUCAAACAGUGGCUGAUGAUCAAGAUAUUCUUUGUAUUGAUUGUAUUUCAGAUGUUCUUCCUAUUUUUCGUUGCGUAAAUGUCAUUCAAGAACCUUUUUUGCUAUUGUAUAUACAUUGAGAAAAAAUUUAUAUGAAAAAUAAAGUAAAUUGCUAUUGUAGAUUCGGCUCGAUCGAACUUCAUUUUAGAUGCUUUUUUUUUUUUCAUUUUUUUUCCCCUGGUGGAAGAGGAGAGUGGCAGCUAAGUUUAAGUGUUGGAUUGAAAUAGGUUAAUUUUUUUGGCAAAACAAUAUGUAAUAUCUCUUGUUGUUGUAAGCAUUACUAGAUGGUACUUCUAGAUGACAGAUUCUGUUAGCUCUUCUUUUCUCUUGGUUUUCGCCAUCACGUUAUUCAUUAUUUGAUUUAUGAGAAUGUAAAAUUGAUUCAGUGGAUAAUAUACCUACAAGAAUUAGAGAAAAUAUAUUUUAUUUAUGAGCUCGAUUUCAUUAUUUAUUUAUAUCUAUUUCAAGUGGGUAGAUCAUCGAUUAUGUAUGAAAAGCUUUUUUCAACAUGGGGGGGUGAGA